AGUGGGGAAUAUUGCGCAAUGGGCGAAAGCCUGACGCAGCGACGCCGCGUGUGGGAUGACGGCCUUCGGGUUGUAAACCACUGUCGGGAGGGACGAAUGCGCCGCAAGGCGAGUGACGGUACCUCCAAAGGAAGCACCGGCUAACUCCGUGCCAGCAGCCGCGGUAAUACGGAGGGUGCGAGCGUUGUCCGGAAUCACUGGGCGUAAAGGGCGCGUAGGCGGCCUGGUAAGUAGGGGGUGAAAUCCUGCGGCUUAACCGCAGGGCUGCCUUCUAAACUGUCAGGCUCGAGCACGGUAGAGGCAGAUGGAAUUCCCGGUGUAGCGGUGGAAUGCGUAGAGAUCGGGAAGAACAUCAGUGGCGAAGGCGGUCUGCUGGGCCGUUGCUGACGCUGAGGCGCGACAGCGUGGGGAGCAAA
rnacentral:rRNA from 1 species